rnacentral:lncRNA from 1 species
GGUCAAGCCCAAAACUUGACCAUUGUUCCAAGGAGAUAAAAACUUCUCGCUGAAGUCAAACACAAAGUAUAGGACUCAAGUUUGAAAUACGUUUCUAAGACUCAAAAUGAAGCUGAUGAAAUUGUGUAUUACAAGAAGAGAAUGCCAUGGCAUUAUUUUUCAGUUUCCAUAAAACAAAGAUGAGGGAGCAUCAGCUGAAGAUGAGAAGGGCUAAACGUAGGGAAAUCUAAAGGAACUAGUACUUUUUACAGCUGCAGGAUUCCACGGCACCCAGCAUGGAGUACGUGCAUAGUUCAAGACCCACAUCUGGAACGCUUAUUUACCAUAGGAAAGAUAAAACAUCUGAGUUUUUCAGAACUUCUUUUUCACUCUCUUUGGCAUAUUUAUGAAGAAUACUAGUAUAUUGAAGAAGAGAAGCAGGGAAGAAUAAAGAAGAAGAGGAAGGAGAGAAGAGGAAGAGGAAGAAGAAAAAGGAGAAGGAACGUCAAAACAAGAUUAUAAGACUUCUUU